rnacentral:rRNA from 1 species
GAUGAACGCUGGCGGCGUGCUUAACACAUGCAAGUCGAACGGAAAGGCCUCUGCUUGCAGGGGUACUCGAGUGGCGAACGGGUGAGUAACACGUGGGUGAUCUGCCCUGCACUUCGGGAUAAGCCUGGGAAACUGGGUCUAAUACCGGAUAGGACAAUAGUUUGGAUGCUGUUGUGGAAAGUUUUUCGGUGUGGGAUGAGCUCGCGGCCUAUCAGCUUGUUGGUGGGGUAAUGGCCUACCAAGGCGUCGACGGGUAGCCGGCCUGAGAGGGUGUACGGCCACAUUGGGACUGAGAUACGGCCCAGACUCCUACGGGAGGCAGCAGUGGGGAAUAUUGCACAAUGGGCGCAAGCCUGAUGCAGCGACGCCGCGUGGGGGAUGACGGCCUUCGGGUUGUAAACUCCUGUCGCUAGGGACGAAGCGUUUUUGUGACGGUACCUGGAGAAGAAGCACCGGCUAACUACGUG